GCUUUUUUAGUUUUUUAGAAUUUUUAAUUGUGGUUUAAAAGGAGAUAAGCUUU
rnacentral:tRNA from 1 species